UCCGGUUGAUCCUGCCGGACCCGACUGCUAUCAGAGUGGGACUAAGCCAUGCGAGUCAACAUAGCAAUAUGUGGCAUACGGCUCAGUAACACGUAGUCAACAUGCCCAGGGGACGUGGAUAACCUCGGGAAACUGAGGAUAAACCGCGAUAAGUCACUGCUUCUGGAAUGGGCAAUGACUUAAAUCUAUAUGGCCCCUGGAUUGGACUGCGGCCGAUCAGGCUGUUGGUGAGGUAAUGGCCCACCAAACCUGUAACCGGUACGGGCUCUGAGAGGAGGAGCCCGGAGAUGGGCACUGAGACAAGGGCCCAGGCCCUAUGGGGCGCAGCAGGCGCGAAACCUCUGCAAUAGGCGAAAGCCUGACAGGGUUACUCUGAGUGAUUUCCGUUAAGGAGAUCUUUUGGCACCUCUAAAAAUGGUGCAGAAUAAGGGGUGGGCAAGUCUGGUGUCAGCCGCCGCGGUAAUACCAGCACCCCGAGUGGUCGGGACGUUUAUUGGGCCUAAAGCAUCCGUAGCCGGUUCUGCAAGUCUUCCGUUAAAUCCACCUGCUUAACAGAUGGGCUGCGGAAGAUACUAUAGAGCUAGGAGGCGGGAGAGGCAAGCGGUACUCGAUGGGUAGGGGUAAAAUCCGUUGAUCCAUUGAAGACCACCAGUGGCGAAGGCGGCUUGCCAGAACGCGCUCGACGGUGAGGGAUGAAAGCUGGGGGAGCAAACCGGAUUAGAUACCCGGGUAGUCCCAGCUGUAAACGAUGCAGACUCGGUGAUGAAUUGGCUUUAUGCCAAUUCAGUGCCGCAGGGAAGCCGUUAAGUUUGCCGCCUGGGGAGUACGGUCGCAAGACUGAAACUUAAAGGAAUUGGCGGGGGAGCACCACAAGGGGUGAAGCCUGCGGUUCAAUUGGAGCAACGCCGGAAAUCUUACCGGGGGCGACAGCAGAAUGAAGGUCAAGCUGAAGACUUUACCAGACAAGCUGAGAGGAGGUGCAUGGCCGUCGCCAGCUCGUGCCGUGAGGUGUCCUGUUAAGUCAGGUAACGAGCGAGACCCCUGCCUCUAGUUGCUACCAUUAUUCUCAGGAGUAGUGGAGCUAAUUAGAGGGACUGCCGUCGCUGAGACGGAGGAAGGAGGGGGCUACGGCAGGUCAGUAUGCCCCGAAACCCUCGGGCCACACGCGGGCUGCAAUGGUAAGGACAAUGAGUAUCGAUUCCGAAAGGAGGAGGCAAUCUCUAAACCUUACCACAGUUAUGAUUGAGGGCUGAAACUCGCCCUCAUGAAUAUGGAAUCCCUAGUAACCGCGUGUCACUAUCGCGCGGUGAAUACGUCCCUGCUCCUUGCACACACCGCCCGUCGCUUCAUCGAAGUUGGUUCUUGGCGAGGUGAUGCCUAAUUGGUACUAUCGAACCUGGGGUCAGCAACGAGGGAG
rnacentral:rRNA from 1 species